rnacentral:rRNA from 2 species
UGCCCUUGAGGCGUGGCUUCCGGAGCUAACGCGUUAAGUCGACCGCCUGGGGAGUACGGCCGCAAGGUUAAAACUCAAAUGAAUUGACGGGGGCCCGCACAAGCGGUGGAGCAUGUGGUUUAAUUCGAUGCAACGCGAAGAACCUUACCUACUCUUGACAUCCAGAGAACUUAGCAGAGAUGCUUUGGUGCCUUCGGGAACUCUGAGACAGGUGCUGCAUGGCUGUCGUCAGCUCGUGUUGUGAAAUGUUGGGUUAAGUCCCGCAACGAGCGCAACCCUUAUCCUUUGUUGCCAGCGGUCCGGCCGGGAACUCAAAGGAGACUGCCAGUGAUAAACUGGAGGAAGGUGGGGAUGACGUCAAGUCAUCAUGGCCCUUACGAGUAGGGCUACACACGUGCUACAAUGGCGCAUACAAAGAGAAGCGACCUCGCGAGAGCAAGCGGACCUCAUAAAGUGCGUCGUAGUCCGGAUUGGAGUCUGCAACUCGACUCCAUGAAGUCGGAAUCGCUAGUAAUCGUGGAUCAGAAUGCCACGGUGAAUACGUUCCCGGGCCUUGUACACACCGCCCGUCACACCAUGGGAGUGGGUUGCAAAAGAAGUAGGUAGCUUAAC